rnacentral:tRNA from 1 species
GCCCCUGUAGUUCAGUGGAUAGAACAAGUCACUCCUAACGACUAAACGGAAGUUCGACUCUUCCCGGGGGCA